UACGUAGGGUGCGAGCGUUGUCCGGAAUUAUUGGGCGUAAAGAGCUUGUAGGCGGUCUGUCGCGUCUGCUGUGAAAUCCGGGGCUCAACCCCGGACUUGCAGUGGGUACGGGCAGACUAGAGUGUGGUAGGGGAGACUGGAAUUCCUGGUGUAACGGUGAAAUGCGCAGAUAUCAGGAGGAACACCGAUGGCGAAGGCAGGUCUCUGGGCCACUACUGACGCUGAGAAGCGAAAGCGUGGGGAGCAAACAGG
rnacentral:rRNA from 1 species